rnacentral:rRNA from 1 species
GUGAAUCAUAGAAUCUUUGAACGCAAAUGGCGCUCUUGGGUUCUCCCAGGAGCAUGUCUGUCUGAGUGUCU